rnacentral:rRNA from 1 species
UACGGGGGGAGCAAGCGUUGUUCGGAUUUACUGGGCGUAAAGGGCGCGUAGGCGGCCAGCGCAAGUCGGUUGUGAAAUCUCCGGGCUUAACUCGGAAAGGUCAACCGAUACUGCGCGGCUAGAGUGCAGAAGGGGCAACUGGAAUUCUCGGUGUAGCGGUGAAAUGCGUAGAUAUCGAGAGGAACACCUGCGGCGAAGGCGGGUUGCUGGGCUGACACUGACGCUGAGGCGCGAAAGCGUGGGGAGCGAUCCGG